CCUACGGGAGGCAGCAGUGGGGAAUAUUGGGCAAUGGGCGCAAGCCUGACCCUGCAACGCCGCGUGGAGGAAGGAGGCUUUCGGGUUGUAAACUCCUUUUAAGAGGGAAGAGCAGAAGACGGUACCUCUUGAAUAAGCCACGGCUAACUACGUGCCAGCAGCCGCGGUAAUACGUAGGUGGCAAGCGUUGGCCGGAUUUACUGGGUGUAAAGGGCGUGUGGCCGGGCUGACAAGUCAGAUGUGAAAUCCCGUGGCUCAACCACGGAACUGCAUAUGAAACUGUCGGUCUUGAGUAUCGGAGAGGCAGGCGGAAUUCCUAGUGUAGCGGUGAAAUGCGUAGAUAUUAGGAGGAACACCAGUGGCGAAGGCGGCCUGCUGGACGACAACUGACGGUGAGGCGCGAAAGCGUGGGGAGCAAACAGGAUUAGAUACCCUAGUAGUC
rnacentral:rRNA from 1 species